CUGGUUGAUCCUGCCGGAGGUCACUGCUAUUGGGAUUCGAUUAAGCCAUGCGAGUCGAGAGGGUUCGGCCCUCGGCUGACGGCUCAGUAACACGUGGAUAAUCUGCCUUUAGGUGGAGGAUAACCUCGGGAAACUGAGAACAAUACUCCAUAGGUCUAGGAUACUGGAAUGUACUUAGACUGAAAACUCCGGUGCCUAAGGAUGAAUCUGCGGACUAUCAGGUUGUAGUCAGGGUAAAGACCUGACUAGCCUACGACGGAUAUGGGUUGUGGGAGCAAUAACCCAGAGAUGAUAUCUGAGACACGAUAUCAGGCCCUACGGGGCGCAGCAGGCGCGAAAACUUCACACUGUGCGAAAGCACGAUGAGGGAAUCCCAAGUGCUUGCACGUAAGUGUAAGCUGUUUCUCUGUUUAAAAUGCAGAGAGAGUAAGGGCUGGGUAAGACGGGUGCCAGCCGCCGCGGUAAUACCUGCAGCUCAAGUGGUGACCGUUAUUAUUGGGCCUAAAACGUUCGUAGCCGGUUUAAUAAAUGCCUGGGUAAAUCGUGUAGCUUAACUAUACGAAUUCCGGGUAGACUGUUAAACUUGAGACCGGGAGAAGUUAGAGGUACUCCUGGGGUAGAGGUGAAAUUCUGUAAUCCUAGGGGGACCACCAGUGGCGAAGGCGUCUAACUAGAACGGGUCUGACGGUGAGGGACGAAGCCCUGGGGCGCGAACGGGAUUAGAUACCCCGGUAGUCCAGGGUGUAAACGCUGCUUGCUUGAUGUUAGUCGGGCUCCGAGCCCGAUUAGUGCCGGAGAGAGGUUGUUAAGCAAGCUGCCUGGGAAGUACGAUCGCAAGAUUGAAACUUAAAGGAAUUGGCGGGGGAGCACAGCAACGGGUGGAGCGUGCGGUUUAAUUGGAUUCAACGCCGG
rnacentral:rRNA from 1 species